UGAGUUCAGGCAAGAACACCCGC
rnacentral:rRNA from 1 species